CAACACAGCUGCAGCAAUUUACCUGUGUGACAGGGAGGGAUGGAGCCUGGCUGCUCCUCUCUUAGACCUCACUUAAGGGCUGACUGCCAGAAGGGAAGGAUCUCUGGUUGGAGAUCCCUCUUUGGUGGAGCUUUCCCCUGUGAGCCUGGAAUCUUCUGAUAUGGAUUUGCCCAUGGGGAUUAUUUGCCGGAGGGGCAUUGUGACAUGCAGGGCUGUAAUCCCUGAAAUCCUGAGAAAGAUGAUAAUUUGGAGAAGUUCAGAAUGGUGAAACAGCAAAAUUAAUAAGUAAUGCUGACCAGUAUAGCUGGGUUUGGUGCUGGACAUUCACUGCUGACAUCCAUCCUGCAGCCACGGAGACUUCAAGGCAAUGAUUUUCUACAGGAGAGUUUACAAUGAAGAUUUGCUGAGCACAGAAUUUGGUGUUCUGUUCCUGUUUUGUAGGGUAACCUCACAGAAAGGCAGAGCGUCAGUUCUGCUCAGGUUUGCUGUGUGCUGGGAGCUUUUCCUCAGUUCAUCAUAGAAGAAGACAUGAAGAGGGUAGGUUCAUCCAUUCCUUGAAAUUCUUCCUGGAAUUACACUGUAAAUGUUUUCAAACCAUCCCAUUGUCCGGUCUUAAAAUAAAUUUGGUAUUUUUAGUCUGGGUUCCUUCUUUCUUCUGACCACUGAAAGAAUAUUUGACCUUUUCUUUUCUCUACAGAGAACACGCGGAACAAAAAUGGGUUUGGUUUUAUUAUGGUAAUAGCUUUGUUUCAACUACCUUUUAAAGCAUGGUGUGUGUGUCUGUAUCAAUUCCUGUAAUUUAUUCUUAUUCCUGAUUUCCCCCAGGCAUCGGAACAGUUUUUCUUUCUAAUGUCUCAUUGCACGAGCUGAUACUGUGAUAAUAAUCUGCAGCUUUAUAGCACCUUUGCACUGAAAUAGUCACAAAUAGCCCGCGUGAUUUAUAUCCCAUUGCUUUUCUCCAGCAGAGCUGGCUGGUUUUGGCAGCCCAGUGCAUUUCCAAUGGCCGCAGCCCAUCUCGUGCAGCAGUUCUGUGCACCUCAGCAGCUCUGUCUCUCAGUGGGGUCGUGGGUCGGAUGGGCGCCGUCUGCAGCAGCGCCGUGGGGCACACAGGGCUCGGAGGCCUUUGGUUUGUGCACAGCCAGCCUGGCAGCAGCAGCAGUGCCUCCUGCAGUUUGUGGUGCCACUGGGAUGUGCAGAGUCCUGCAGCUGUGACCUGGGGGGGCUGGGGCUCAUCGUGUGCCUCAACUUUAAAAAUACAAAAAAAUUGCGGCUGCUGUCAGAAUGAGCAAGAGAAGUCUCUCUAUUGCUGUGUAGAUGAGGGUUUUUUGCCUCCCCCUCGGCUCUCGUCUUGUUUCUGAUGAGUGAAGGCAUCUCUCUGUGCCUGCUUCACACAGCAGUUUCACAGCUGGGUUCACAAAACCCGUGUGUGCAGAACUGUAACAAACCCACACUUCCCAUUGGUUGUUUUCUUAGUUCUUCAAUGGAGAAAUUUGUUUGUCAGGUGUACUUGAAGUCCACAGUCCAGGUGUGGCUCUAAUUAUUUGUGAGCACUGAGUGGUGAAUUCUUGUAAAGGUUUUCUUCUACUUAUUUACUUUCAUUUUAAUGUGUGCUUUGCAGCGUUCUGCCUUCUCUCCUGCUGGCACGAGAGCUGUGCCCCAAGAGCCAUAGGUGGGAAUGGAGUUCAAACCACAGCAUGGCCGUUCAUUCGUCUGCUUAUUCCUGAAAGCUGUACCAUCUUCUUGCUUUAAAUUAAAAAAAAAAAAAUCAUCAAGAAAGUGAAAGUGAGCAUCUCUGCUACUGUAAGCAAUGACAGCACGUAACAGAACCUGUCUUGCAGGCUGCAGGCAGCACACAGCGAGCAGAUGGAGAAACUCGACCACGGAAUCGCUCAGUGCUGUGUUAGAAAUCCAUUAAGAAUGUUGGCUGUGUUUGCAGAGCUCUGGAAAAGAAAAAUGCAGAUGAGCUGUGUGCCUGGAAUACAUGCACAGGCUUUAGUUUUACCUCUGGAGUGGCUCUCCCUGUAAGCAACAGCUGUGUGUAUGCAUUUCAUUUCUUUUAAGCUGUUAGAUGGGGUCUCUGUAGUGGCUUGGCCACAGCUUAUUUCAGAGACACAUUUUGCCCACAAGUGAUAAAUGGCAAUGCAAACAGGUAUUAUGUAGAGGUAGAAAAGAAGUUUUGUGUGAGUGAUGGAGCUUGGUGAGGAUUCUCCUCACUUCCACUGUGCCUGCCUGACUUCUUCCAGCACCUGGUUUGCAUCCUUCCUAAUGGUGCAAUCAGACAGGCCUUGCUUCUCUUGCACCUACCCUGGCUGGCUGGGAGAAGUAAGGCUGCUGCUUGCAGAGCCCAGACUUCACCCUCAUGUCCCAGCAGCAGCACUGCUGUGUCCUGCAGGAGGUGUGGGGCUGAAGGGAUGGAGCAGAGAGAGCAGCAGGAGACAGCGCUGGGAGCUUCAGAUGGAUGAGUGAGUGCAGCUGAGCUCGUGUACUGCGAUGCUAAAUGCUGAAUGUUGUGGGAUGAGAGGGACAGGUGAACUGCUCGUGGAACUGUUCUUGGACCUUAAAGACAGCGAUCUUUCUAGUCACUUUUUGUUACUGGCAUCAAAUCUAUUCUCUGCUCUAUUUCUUUAAAUGCAUAACAGCCCCGCAGUGCCCCAUCUCACACGGAUCUGUCCCUGCCUUCCGAAGUCGCAAUGAUCUCUGCUGGCGUUAAGCACUCCAAGGGCAAAGCAGGAGCGAUUUUAAGGCUGCAUGAUAAAGGAGCAAUUCUAGCAGAGCAUCUUUGUUACGUAGAUGUGCAGUUUAUCCGUUGUCUCUGAAAUGUUGCAGUAUUUCAGUCAUUUUCACUUCUUGGUUUCUUUUUUAGAUUCCUUUCCCUUGACUUGAAUGUCUAGGGGGUGGAAAGUAAAGGAAGGCUGUAAUGUGGUGUUUGCUAAAUGGAGCCGAGCUCCAAUCUCAGUGUUUAACUGAGAAGUGUUUUGUCACGGUUCCAGAGGGGUGGAAGCUGUGCGCUCUCUGCAAAGGCAGCAGGGCAGGAUGUGCUGUGCCUGCAGCUUCCCUGCCUGUGGGCUGGCAGUGGGAACACAGGCGAUCAAACUCAAACACUGUGCUUCUGCGUGUCUCUUAACCUCUUAUUUAAACCUUACAGGGUUCGUGCAGCUGUGGGGUGCCCGAAAGACGCCGUGUGCUCUGUCCUGCCAGCUGGGCUCUGGCGUGCACUGAAUGCGAUCCCAGCAGGUCUGCAGUGGAGGAAGCUCCCAGCACUGCCCAGCAGUGUGCGGGAUGCCCGGGGCAGGGCAGCUCCUGGCACAAGGCACAGCACCUCUGGGAUGGAGCAGCUUUUAAGCUGAAGCCGCAGAGGUGCGGUGUGUAAUAAGUAGGCAAAGUUUGCUCUGCAUUUCGAGUGCAUCAUUGUGCUCUAAGUAGUGCAGAUUUGGCUCCUUUAACCCUGAUCUCCUGGGGCUGAGCUUUAAGUGUUUGAACUUUAGCUGCAAAGGAAUAUAUUGAUUAGGCUUUGAUUUAGUCAUUGCUUGCUGGAAAGAUACCGGGUAACAACUCUUAUCUGCCCAUUUGGAUUUUUAGUCAUUACAUGGAUUCCCCUCUCCUUCCCCUUUUCUUCCUCAACACUUUUCUGCCUAAAAGUCUGCCGUGCUUUGUGGAGAAAUAAAAGAAAAAGCAGCUGUCACACUGUGAACAUAAUUGAUUCAAUAAACAACAUUUUCAAGUCCCCUGGGAUGAACCUCAGCGUCCUCGCUUAUGUCAAUUAGUGCUUUAUUCUGCUAAGUGUGGCACCUCUCCUUGAGAUGGAUGGGCCGAGGCAGUCAGCUCGUUGUCUUCGAGGAGAAGCUGUGAGAGAUGGACUGGUUGCUGUAGAUUGAAAAUACCCCGUUCAUUUGUUAUGGACAUGUGAAAGGAAGCUUUCCUGACCUAUUUGUUAAAGCUAAUUGUCUUUUUUCUUGGUUUUGUGGUUUUCUUUUUUCUCUGAAUGGCUCGGGCUGAGACCUUCUUUUUCUUUUGCUGCAGCAGAGAACAGCUUGGGUUAAGCCUUCUCCCAUCUCAGUUGCAGAUAACCUUAUGUCUGCAAUAUUGGAGCAGAGUGGAGCAGCAGAGCUGGCAAAUGGUGCUAUUCAGCGUGCAGAGUGAAGGUGUGGGCAAGGAGGGAAGCUUUAGGUUUUCUUCUACACGGUGACAGUGUUUUCUUUCUUCUGCUUGUACAACAAAUGCGGAGCUGCUUGUUUUGCACUACUGAAGCUUGCACUUGGAUCCAAAUCAAAACUGAGGAGAGCCUUGCUGCAAAACACCACGUCCAGCCCUGGCAAGGAAGAGCACUUAACAAACAAAACAGCAAAGCUUCCCAUCCUGAGGGAAGCAGCUCAGUGCAUCCAAAUGGAGGUGGUGGGAAGCACCUGGGGCUGAACUGCCCUGCACCCCAACAAACCAACAACCCAAAUGGUGCCUUACUAGCAGUUUAUUGUCUCACGGUUCCUUUUCCCUUCACAGAUCCGUUCUUGAGAGGGAACGCUCACCCUGUGGUCCUCUGAUGGUGUCUGUGACUUUGUUCAGUAUUGUUUUCCUACAUUAUAGAGCUGCUGAUGUGUAGAACUUCAAUCAUUGCAGACCCAACCACUUGCAAAGAAUACAAGCGAUGGCGUUUCCCUUCUAAGGAGGAGUGCACUGAGAAGCAAGGAGCAGGGGCAGAACUGGAACACAGUGUGUGACAUAACUGAUUUGCUGCGGGAUCACAGCACCUUGGAACAGUGUGGGAGCUGCAAAGAGUCCUUUGUCCUCUCUGGUUCCUCUCUGAGAAGUCAGUGGUGUUUGGUGCCAUGCAGGCAGCAGGGAACCUGCAGAGAGUAAAUAUGGGAUCAAAAAAUGCUUUUUUUCUUUAGGGUGUCACUGUGUACUGUGGGGCUCCUCUUUCUGAUGUGUGAGGUACUGAAGCUGUGUGUAAAGUUGCCAUUUAUCUGUGCUUUUGUUCAGGGUAUUAACAUGAUGGAGAGGCUUUUUCUGGAGCAGCCUUGUUGACGGCGCUCCUGUGAGCUGUUGUAAAUGCAGCAUCCUUCUACAGGAGAAAAAGAACCUGCAUUGUUUCCUGGGAACAGAAUAUCUUCAUUGCCAUCGUGACUCCGCGGCUGUUAUCUGAUCUUCAUUGGUACCAUUUUACUGAGGGGAGAGAAUUCCAUGUGUGGAGGUGGGGGGGAAAAAAGAGAAGACUGUAAUCUGGAAUGCUGAUUGUGAAAUCACAGAGAAAAAAUGUAAGCUUGGGAAUGGCAUCUCCUUGUUAAUUUGGUGCACCAUCCCUAGGGACCUCAUUCCAUCAGGGAACGCGGAGCCCUGCUGCACAAACAGCCCUCGCUGCCAUGAGGAGCCCCGAGCCUCUCCAGCCCAUUGCUGUCUUUCCCGGAGGCACAAGCACAGCCCAUGCACUGCUCUGAGAUGGACUUCACUGCCCCAGAACAAAGCUCGACCUCAGCAGCGCAGUGGGGCUGCCGCUUCCUGCCUGUGUCAGCACUGCUCGCUAUUACAGCCCUGAUGGUGGUGUUGGGUUACCGUGCUCCCGCCAGUGUAAUUAUACCCAACUGUAAAGAUGUGCCUCGGGACAAGUUUUAAA